CAAUAUAUUAGGCGUAAUUUUUUGUUCAGGCAUGAAAAUACAAUUGGUUUGAAAUAUGCUUGACUAGCUUCAGCAUUUGAUUAGCCUUACUCCUAAAUUGGUGCUAAGCAUCAAAUGACUACACAUGAAAAAAAAAGAAGCAAACAGAAUAACUCCUUUAGUAGUAACAACACAUAUAAAAGAAUGAUACCCAACAGCUCAUAAUCGAAGCAUGUAAUUUACCUAUCCCGCAAGCAUGACCCCAUCAUGUACUCACCCAUACCCAUUUGUAGAAACUACUAGGACCUUAUCUACUUACAUCUCCUCUAUGCAUGGAAAAACAACAUCAAAAUUCACUCGUGCGCUCAUAGCUCAUAUUGGAAUUUCGUCAAACACUUGAUGUGCGCAACUUAAAAUAGACCCAACUUUUUGCUGGAAAAACAACCGACUAUGCAAGAUAGAAAACAACCGACUAUUCAGCGUCUUUGUAGCAGUUUUAUUUCUUGUUCUUGGCACUGGGUCCCUCGAGGGGCAAACCGAGCAGCGGAUGCUGCAGCUCAGCGAGCUAGGCGGAGGAUGUGCGAUGAAGUUUGGGCUUCCAGCCCCCCAUCCUCUCUGGUUUUUGUGUUGCAAGCUGAUGGUCUUCCUUGCCCCCCGCGGUGCUAGGGAGUUUUGUGCUGGAGGCGGAUGGGCUCCCCUUUUGGAGGCGUCAUAGUUACUGGUCUCUAGCCUUGUUUCUUCUAGCAGUUGUGCGUUUUCUUGCUGUUGCUGUUGUUGUUUCCUUCUCUUUCUACCUUUGGUUUUUUGUCUGUUUCUCCCCUUGUUGUCUGUCUUUCGUGUUUGAAUGAAAGUUUCUAUUGACCAAAAAAAAAAAAAAAUGCAAGAUAGAAAACAACGUUAAUGUGAAAAUGAAAACAUAACUGGAAAAAAAAAAUUUGAAACUGAUUGCUACACAAAUUUAUACCAAUACAGAUAAUGAAUGGUACUGAUAAGAACGCAUGAUUUGGGGUAGAUGAAAAUGCAUAAUUUGGGAUAGAUAGAUGAAAAGCUGAUAAGAACGGAGACAAUAACACAUAAAUUACAUGUGUUAUGCAGGCAUAC
rnacentral:lncRNA from 1 species